rnacentral:lncRNA from 10 species
GUUCUGCCAUCCUUAGUGAGUGGCUUCCAUCUGUAAGGUCACCUCAUGGCCCAGCAUGGCUGCCAGCACCCCUACCCUAUCUGUGUUACAGGCAGGAAGAAGAAGAAAUUGGGGAAGAACAAAAAGGGUGCCUUUCAAAUGCGUCAGCAUCUCUAAAGGAAUUCCCCAGAAAUCCCCCCAGUGACUUCUGUGUACAACUGACUGACCACAUCUGCAGGGGAGGCUGCAGAAUGUGGUUUUGUAGCGGGGCACAUUACCACAUUCAACAAUAUGGAGAUUCUGUUACUAAAGGAAAGGAGAGAGUAGACAAGGAGAAGGCAACUAGCGAUUCUGGACACGAGCUCCAGGAAGACAGUAAACAGAGGAGGAAAAGUACUGCCCUCCUCACCCAUCUGGGGUACACGGGACACUAUCAAUAAGCGAUAGAAGCCCAGGACUCAAGCUGUAGUUAACUUGCUUUCCUCUCUUCUAAAUGUUAAAGGAAAGUUCACAUCCAGGGUAGUUAGGAGACAGAGCAGCAUUUUAAAUGCUGUCAAAUUCCAGCUGAAUUCAGAAAAUUCAGAAUUUUCUGAACGGUGUUGCACAAGAUGUUUUUGAAUGUUACAUGAAAAAAUGAGUCCCUAAUCAAAAAGUUUGGGAAACUCUGGAUUGAACCAAGUUGUGCAGUUUAUUUGAUUGCAGAAAAUGUUGGGGUCACUGGUGUGCUCACUUGCCUUGUGAUUUUUUUUUUUAAAUUUUGGACAGAGAACAUUCCCAUAUUUGACCAUGGACUCACUUCUUACAGAAAAUCCCAUGGGAUAAACAUUCCACAUAGUAAACAUUUAGGAAAUAAUGGUGUGGUCAGAGGCUACAUCUUUACCCUGCCGGUUUUCUCAAAGCACUGCCCAUGGGCCACCUACACUAGAAUCUUCUUAGCUCCAUUACACAACUACUGAAUCACAGUCUCAGGCCUGUGGCUUGGAAAUCCGCAUUUUCAAAGCUCUCUGAGCUAUAGUCUUACGCUUAUUGAAGUUUGGGAUCCACCAGGUGACAGAGUUGUGCCUCCACUUUACAGACACCAUGACUUGAUCAAUUUACAUCCAGGUACCUCCUCCUGGCUCCCUAAAACUCAUUUCUCUCAUCACCAUGUGGUACCCGGAUAAUUUUCUCAGCUCUGUUCCAAGCAGCUUGCAUUUAUCUUUAUUGUUGCUCUUUUUAUUGAUUUAGGUCCAUCUCUGCAAUUCGUCAAGCUUGGAUUGCAUUUUAAUCUUGUCCUCCAAAGUAGCUAAGAUCCCUUCCAGCUUCCUAUCAUCCAGAAAUCUGAUUAGCUGGGUCUCGAUUCCAUCCUUCAAGCCAUUAAUGAAAACAUUAAAUGGUCCUGGCUUGGCAUGAAGGUCUUCAGGGUUCUCGGUGGGUAUAUGGCUCCCAUAUCUGCCACUAGCCUCUGCUUGGCAUAGUCCUGGGUUGGAGAUCAGGCCCAAUAUUUCAGUUGUAGGUUACUGCAUCCUCAUGCUUCCUCAUCCAUGCACGUAGUGCAAAUCUGUGUAGGAAAAAUACAACCUAGUAAUUAAUUAAUUCAUUAGACAUUAGAUCAACAAAUGUCUUUAAAACACUAGGUUUUUCCUCACACCAGUGGCAUGUUGACCUCAGAAUGAAGAAGCUAAUGCCGAGUGUGUGCAUUAGAAAGAUCGAUUUUUAUGUAAAAUGCAACUCGGAUCUGUCUUUGUGAUACACCAUUCCAGGAGGAGAUGACCUCAAGACAAGCAGCUUCCAUGCAAUACUGCAGCAAGGGCUUACUUUCCUGAGCAUUUCCCACGCUCCAAUCACUGCUCUAAUUCCUUUAGAUGUGUUAACUCACUUCCUGCUCACAAUACUUCUAUGAGAUGAGGAAAUGGAGGGACCAAGAUAACUGCCCCAGAGCCAACCCCAGGUCCAGCGGACUCUUUCCUCCUCAGAGGCUUGCCCCAGGAGAGACCAGCUGAACAGGCAUUGCCUGGGACUCCUUGGGGAAGUGGAGGUUGGAAAAACUCAGCCACUCAGGGCUGGGCCUGGCCUGACUCUAGGAGCACAAGAUGCAGCCUCUGUCCUCAGAGAUUCAAAGGUUGAGCAGACAUUGGCCACAGUCCCGGCUGGCUCCGACCGUGGCAGAGGCUGAACCAGAGCAGAGGAGGAAGCAGAGGGGUGGGCCGCAAGCUCUUCUUGGAGUCUCAGGAGCUGCAGAGAGCAAGCUGGGCUUCCUGGAGGAGGAGGCGUGAGAGUUGGGCCUUGAAGCACUCAGCAGCUGUUUCCUGAGCUGAUGUACAUCUCAUUAGUCUAUCAAGCUCCAACAGCCAAGGCCAAGGCCCCCAGAAUGAAAAACUGACGCAGCCACCCCUUCCUGUGCCAGAGACAGGAGAAGGGAGGGAGACUGACGGCCUUUGUUCUCUGAGCAAGACCGUAAAGCACUUCGCCUACAGGCCACAAGAGGGCGAUGGUGGUCCACACAUAAGAUCUUCCCAAAGAGCCAGCCAAAAACGCCUGCCUGGAGAAUCUGGAGGUUGUGAAAGGUGACUUUGUUAAGGAAGGGCGAUGGCCCUUCUCCCUGCCCCAGAGCUCUGAAAGCCUUUAAAGUGGCUUUAGCAGCGUGGUUUAAGAAUGGCUCCUUCGGUACAAGGACGGCCAUCACUGCUUCUCCUACUGUGUUUGAUGCCAGCGUUCUUCCCGUCUGCAGGGAAGGACGGAGAGUGAGGAGGGCACACAGGACGUAGCUGGCUCCUGGCCAUGGACGGUGACCGCUCUGGGGCCAGCAGGGUAGAGCUGCCUUCCUACAUCUGAGAACUCAAGGGCGAGAGGGAGGCAGGGCAGGGGAGAGGGUUGGUCUCAGUUCACAGGGCGACCCUCUGGCCCUGGUUCUGACGGCGACUCGCUGUGUAAGCUAAGGAGUGUCUCGCUCUGUACAGCGGGCAGGUGGUGGGUCUCUGCACGUCCAGCAUCUCCAGCUUUCCGUCCUCUGAGCUGUUUUGACAUGGGAGGCGCUGGCAGGGAGAGAGGGGUCACUGAUGUGGGAAGCUGGUGCAGAGCUGGGGAGUAGCUUGUGAUGCUGGAGAACCUGGAGAUGCCCCUCCCAUUCCUUGGGCCUCGACUGUCUCAUCUGUGGAAUGGGCGGGUCAGACUGGAUAAUCUCUAACCAUUGCUUCCCUUCACUUCUGUCCCAAUAAACACACACGGAGCUUUUUCGUUUGUCUUUUGUCUUUUUUUUUUUUUUUUUUUUUUUUUUAGAGACGAGGUCUCACUAUGUUGUUCCCCAGGUCUGAGUACAG